rnacentral:rRNA from 1 species
GUAGCGAAAGCGAGUCUGAAUAGGGCGUUGAGUAUUUGGUCGUAGACCCGAAACCAGGUGAUCUACCCAUGGUCAGGUUGAAGUUCAGGUAACACUGAAUGGAGGACCGAACCGACUUACGUUGAAAAGUGAGCGGAUGAACUGUGGGUAGCGGAGAAAUUCCAAUCGAACUUGGAGAUAGCUGGUUCUCUCCGAAAUAGCUUUAGGGCUAGCCUCAAGUGAUGAUUAUUGGAGGUAGAGCACUGUUUGGACGAGGGGCCCCUCUCGGGUUACCGAAUUCAGACAAACUCCGAAUGCCAAUUAAUUUAACUUGGGAGUCAGAACAUGGGUGAUAAGGUCCGUGUUCGAAAGGGAAACAGCCCAGACCACCAGCUAAGGUCCCAAAAUAUAUGUUAAGUGGAAAAGGAUGUGGCGUUGCCCAGACAACUAGGAUGUUGGCUUAGAAGCAGCCAUCAUUUAAAGAGUGCGUAAUAGCUCACUAGUCGAGUGACACUGCGCCGAAAAUGUACCGGGGCUAAACAUAUUACCGAAGCUGUGGAUUGUCCGUAGGACAAUGGUAGGAGAGCGUUCUAAGGGCGUUGAAGCAUGAUCGCAAGGACAUGUGGAGCGCUUAGAAGUGAGAAUGCCGGUGUGAGUAGCGAAAGACGGGUGAGAAUCCCGUCCACCGAUUGACUAAGGUUUCCAGAGGAAGGCUCGUCCGCUCUGGGUUAGUCGGGUCCUAAGCUGAGGCCGACAGGCGUAGGCGAUGGAUAACAGGUUGAUAUUCCUGUACCACCUAGCAUCGUUUUAAUCGAUGGGGGGACGCAGUAGGAUAGGCGAAGCGUACGAUUGGAUUGUACGUCUAAGCAGUGAGAUUGAGUGUUAGGCAAAUCCGGCACUCUUAAGAUUGAGCUGUGAUGGGGAGAGGAAAUUGUUUCCUCGAGUCGUUGAUUUCACACUGCCGAGAAAAGCCUCUAGAUAGAUAAUAGGUGCCCGUACCGCAAACCGACACAGGUAGUCAAGAUGAGAAUUCUAAGGUGAGCGAGCGAACUCUCGUUAAGGAACUCGGCAAAAUGACCCCGUAACUUCGGGAGAAGGGGUGCUCUUUAGGGUGCAAGCCCAGAAGAGCCGCAGUGAAUAGGCCCAAGCGACUGUUUAUCAAAAACACAGGUCUCUGCUAAACCGUAAGGUGAUGUAUAGGGGCUGACGCCUGCCCGGUGCUGGAAGGUUAAGAGGAGUGGUUAGCUUCUGCGAAGCUACGAAUCG